AAUCCAUGGUGUGGGCAUCUUCUUAAUAGUUCCUUGAAGCGCUUUCAUACAUCAUACAAAGUCUCUUGGCCUUGUUGAUAAAAAUUAUUUAUAUCACUUUUCAACUU